GAUGAACGCUGGCGGCGUGCUUAACACAUGCAAGUCGAACGGAAAGGCUCCUGCUUGCCGGGGUCCUCGAGUGGCGAACGGGUGAGUAACACGUGGGUGAUCUGCCCUGCACUUCGGGAUAAGCCUGGGAAACUGGGUCUAAUACCGGAUAGGACGAUGGUUUGGAUGCCAUUGUGGAAAGUUUUUUCGGUGUGGGAUGAGCUCGCGGCCUAUCAGCUUGUUGGUGGGGUAAUGGCCUACCAAGGCGUCGACGGGUAGCCGGCCUGAGAGGGUGUACGGCCACAUUGGGACUGAGAUACGGCCCAGACUCCUACGGGAGGCAGCAGUGGGGAAGAUUGCACAAUGGGCGGAAGCCUGAUGCAGCGACGCCGCGUGGGGGAUGACGGCCUUCGGGUUGUAAACUCCUUUCGCUAGGGACGAAGCGCAAGUGACGGUACCUGGAGAAGAAGCACCGGCUAACUACGUG
rnacentral:rRNA from 1 species